rnacentral:rRNA from 1 species
GACGAACGCUGGCGGCGUGCCUAAUACAUGCAAGUCGAACGCAGUGGGGACGGGUGAGUAUCACGUGGGUAACCUCCCAUCAGAGGGGAUAACACUUGGACACAGGUGCUAAACCGAUACUGAUGGAUGGACCCGCGGUGCAUUAGCUAGUUGGUGGGGUAACGGCGCACCAAGGCCACGAUGCAUAGCCGACCGGGAAGGGUGAUCGGCCACACGGGGACUGAGCAACGGCCCAGACCCCUACGGGAGGCAGCAGUAGGGAAUUUUCGGCAAUGGAGGAAAGUCUGACCGAGAAACGCCGCGUGAGGGAAGAAGGUUUUCGGAUCGUAAAACUCUGUUGGUGGAGAAGCGGUAUCUAACCAGAAAGCCACGGCUAACUACGUGCCAGCAGCCGCGGUAAUUC